AGGAACCAUGAUCAAGAUCAUGAUGUCACGAUCCUCAAGAAAAAAGGGAAGAGGUGUUAUAAUUUAUCCAUUUGUUAUUAGAUGCCAGUCGCCACUCCCGUGUUUGACCUAUCGCAUAUUUAUAAGUUAUCACCUGAAACUGAAGAUCUAAGAGUUUACGAGAAAGGACAAAUUAUAAUAGAAGAAGAUAAUGGAAAAUUAUUUCCUCCUUCUAUGACACCGGAUAUGGGUAUUGGAACUUGUCUUUUGAACGAACGUCCGAGAGAAUGGCGGUGCAACCGUGCUAAUGUCAAUGGAGCUGUUGGUGCGGUUGUGAUCGCGAUUCAGUUUUACAGGCACCACAACUACAUAGCAAAUGAAUUACAUGAACUGAACCCGUGCUGGGAUGAUGAACGAUUGUAUUACACGGCUCGAGACAUCAACAUAGCUGUAUUUACGCAAAUUUAUUUCUAUGAACUAUUACCUAUUUUGCUGGGUAAAGAAAACAUGAUCAAACAUGGAAUUAUUUCUGAUUCUGAUGGAUUCAGAGACAUGUAUGAUGAAGAUGUUUUACCGCAGAUGACUGAUGAAUAUCAUUAUGCGUUAAGAUGGUUCCAUGUUAUACAGGAAGCAGACAUUAAGAUGUACGAUAACGACGGAUAUUAUUUGAACACUAUUCCUAUGGUAAACGUAUCUUUACGAACAGGAUUCCUGCCGCACGAUGAAAACUUGGAAAAAAUGACUCAGGGCAGCUUCAGACAGUAUGGUGGUGGUUUUGACCACAUUAUAGAUAACGAUGUGAGUAACAAAACGGUUUCUCACAGAUUGAACAAAAUCAGGAUAAAAUAUUCAUGUAUCAACCUAACCUAAAAUAUCAACCUGAAUAGUACAUGUCAUUCCGAAAUUUAUAAUAACAAGGUCUUUUGUGUGUUCUAUUUAAUUUUUGUUUAAUUUCUAGAUAUCUGAAAGAGUAAUAGGUGGCGUGCACUUCUCAUCGGACGUAGCAACCAUAGAUAUAGCUAAAGGCAGGUACUUGGGCAUGCAGCCUUACGUCAACUACAGAGAGUUUUGUACAGACAGGAAGUACAAGUCAUUUGAGGACCUUGAAGACGCUAUCAGUCCUGAGCGUAUUUACCGCCUCAGGCGGCUAUACAAGGAUGUGGAGGACGUAGAAUUGAUGAGCGGCUUAUGGGUUGAGAAAUACGUCGCAGGUGGAAUGGUCCCUCAUACCAUAUACUGCCUGUUGGCCGACCAACUGAAACGGUCAAUCAUAUCAGACAGGCACUGGUAUGAAAGCUCGACCAGACCACACGCUUUUACUUUGGAACAAUUACAAUCAAUACGCAAGACGACCAUUGCUGGUGUCUUGUGUGCUGUGGGUGAUGAAGUGACGGAAAUACAACCUGCUGCCUUCCAAAGCAUAUCAAACAAGAAUCCUUUAACGAAAUGCAGUUCAUCGGACAUUGGAGCACUGGAUCUGUCUGCUUGGGAAGAUCCGAUGUGCAGCUAACAAUACUUUUAUAGGGACGAAAUGAAAAAUUUUCGAUGUCCGACCGACGGAGUUUAAUGAAAUGUACCUACCCAUGUUUAUUAUUUUCUUGUCCUAUAUAAUUUUGCAUUUUGACAGAUUUAGCGGACAGGACUAUUAAGCUAACUAACUUACUUCAAUUUGAUUAAUUAUAUACUGACAAUAUUUGUUUUUUGCACCAAAAUUUGAAUUAUUUUAUCUAAUCGA